rnacentral:rRNA from 1 species
AGCAGCCGCGGUAAUUCCAGCUCCAAUAGCGUAUAUUAAAGUUGUUGCAGUUAAAAAGCUCGUAGUUGAAUUUCGGGACUAAUAUGUCGGUCGUACUUUGUACGUACUAGCAUUAUUGGUUUCUCCCUUCUGACGAACCACGAUGUCAUUAAUUUGGUGUCGCGGGAAAUCAGGACUGUUACUUUGAAAAAAUUAGAGUGUUUAAAGCAAGCUCGCGCUUGAAUACAUUAGCAUGGAAUAAUGAAAUAGGACGUUUGAUUCUAUUUUGUUGGUUUCUAGGAUCGACGUAAUGAUUAAUAGGGAUAGUUGGGGGCAUUAGUAUUCAAUUGUCAGAGGUGAAAUUCUUGGAUUUAUUGAAGACUAACUACUGCGAAAGCAUUUGCCAAGGAUGUUUUCAUUAAUCAAGAACGAAAGUUAGGGGGAUCGAAGACGAUCAGAUACCGUCGUAGUCUUAACCAUAAACUAUGACCGACUAGGGAUCGGAUGAUGUUAAUUUUUAUGUACUCAUUCGGCGCCUUAC